rnacentral:lncRNA from 1 species
ACUCCUUUAUCAUCUAUAGAUCUACAUUUCCCCUGUCCUUUCUCCGCUGUUACAGCUUUUUUUUCUCAAUCUUCUUGGUUUCAUCUAGCCCUGCACUGCAUUUGUCACACUUUUUUUGAAAAUCUACUGUAUGUCAAAGUGUCUUUCUAGUAAUACAGAUAGCCCUCACUCAUACCUUUAGUGUGGUUUCUGUAGUCAUAUAGAGCAACAUUGCUUUAUGGAAAUGAACUUGAAUCUGCGGGGGGCGGGGGUGGAAAAUCACAUGUGUUUCACACCUACAUGUCUGCAAGGCGCCACUGGAGUAUUCUUUUUGACUAAAUCUCAGAGGGGUGCUGAGUGAGUACCUGCCAAAGGCAUGGGUUGGUAAGGAGACUCAGUUAGGCUCUGUGCAAUCAAAUGCAGCCAGCUUGGUUUGUGUGUGAAAGGACUGGGUUUUCCCCAGGCUGUUGGUAAUGAUGC